UGCCAGCAGCCGCGGUAAUACGAAGGGUGCAAGCGUUGUUCGGAAUUACUGGGCGUAAAGGGCGUGUAGGCGGCCUGUUAAGUUAGAUGUGAAAUCCCGGGGCUCAACCCCGGCACUGCAUUUGAUACUGGCAGGCUUGAAUACCGGAGGGGAGUAUGGAAUUCCAAGUGUAGAGGUGAAAUUCGUAGAUAUUUGGAAGAACACCAGUGGCGAAGGCGAUACUCUGGCCGGUUAUUGACGCUGAGGCGCGAAAGCGUGGGGAGCAAACAGGAUUAGAUA
rnacentral:rRNA from 1 species